CACAAAGAUGGGUAAGGCUAGAAUUCUAAAGGUACAGGAUUUUCUUCUAGAAUUGCAUUAUUCUAGAAAGGUUUAGGCAGGAUAAUAACAUCCACAAGACUGCUUUUUUCUCCUUGUCUUCCAACACCUGCAGACAGCACUGGCUAAGAGGAAGCUGUACAACUGCUUGUAAUGCAUUGUCCUGGAUUUCAGAGGAAUUUUUCAUUGUUCGUUGCCAUCAGGUUUUAAACCAUUAGUGUCAGAACCUGUCAACGUUCAUGGAUUUUUUAGCUCUGCUCAAAAUAAUCUGUAGAAUUUUGGAUGAAGCUUAAGGGACAAGACAUGGAGUUCCUCUAUUUAAGACAUACAAGGAUGAAGGAUGGUCUGAAGUGGAAGAUAUCAAAUGCCAUUUAUUUUACAGAGCUUAUUCCUGUUUCAUGUCUUGCCAUCUGGUCUAUGACAGCCUUGAAGUCUGUUAAGUCUACAAGUCUAUGAAAUAGCCUACAGCCCAGAAGUCCAUGAAAAAUGAUCCAUAAAAAAAAAUGUAUGGAACCUUGAGAUUACCAAAACUUUACUUAAUAUGUAGUUAAUUCCUUGUGCUUUUACACACUGGGAAAAUUAAUUUGAGUAAAUUGAAUAUUGCUCAUUUUUCAGGUAAAUUACAUGGUCCAAGGAAUUUUCUCUGAAUAUUAAAAAAAAAAAAUUGUGUUGUUAACAUCAGGGGCAUUUUAGUAUUUUCUUUUACUUUGUCUUUCCAGUAAAGGUAUUUGAAGCACCCAAGUGCCAAAGAAAUGUAAUCAACAUUUCAGGUCCCACAAAGUUUUUGAAUCAAUUUCCUGUCUUUGAAGUCUGACUUCAUAUAGGUGUAAUUGUGCAUGUAUGUGUCUGUGUGCCAGUUAAUGCAGACUAGAGUCAAUAUAUUUCAGUAAUAGAGGUUAUUUGUCCUUCUCUCACCAAUAGCUGUGAAGAAUUUGUAUUUACUUAACUUACUUCAUUAUUGUAGCAAAGGUUUGGCUGUUACAAGAAUGCAUGCAGGCCCUCACUGGAAGAGUGGCAGAAAGGAGGGGGACAGAGGGAGAAGAAUUUGACUAAGGAAAUUUGAAAGCCAAGGGAAAGUUUGGAGGUAAAGAAGAAAGUGGCAAAUAUGUUUAUGAUAAAUUUGCAUAGUCUUAUUUUGUAUGAGAAGCUGAGUACUGACACAUUAAACCUUUUCUUAUAUAUUGCAAUUAAAUUUUGGGACAUUUUCAGUUCUUAUAUUUACAUAAGUAUUUUUUAAAACUAAACUUUUAGUAUUUUGCAGAAAGUGUAUCAGGAACAAUUUCUCCAAUGACUUCUUCAUGCAGAGUUAUUUUACAAUUUAAUUGUUUCCAUGCCUGUGAAUUAAGUAGGCCAAGAUUCUCCCCAGAGGGGAUUUUUAUUGUGAAUCUGACUACCUAAUCCAUUUUAAAUUGGCAGUUUAUAACUGACACUUCAUUAAAUUGCAACUUCAGCAUGCUGCUACAGUUGGUGCUUCAAGUUGGUUAGUUGGAUCCUGAUCCUGUAUCCUUGCUUACACAAGUAAUAUUACAGAGGUAGCAUCACUCAUUGCUUAAGUGAGGUCUCCAGGAAUACAGAAAAAUAUAUUUUGACUAGGUCAAUAAUUGCCUGUAAAUGUUGCUGGUCUUUUAUAUGUGACUGCUUUUGGAUUUAACUGUAUAAUUCUGCACAUAUAUUAGUCCUUCAUUAACAGUCACAAUAAAUUGUGCAGCUGGUGUGAGAUAAUUGCA
ensembl:lncRNA